UACGAAGGGGGCUAGCGUUGUUCGGAAUACUGGGCGUAAAGCGCGCGCAGGCGGUCUUCCAAGUCAGUGGUGAAAGCCCGGAGCUCAACUCCGGAACUGCCAUUGAAGCUGUUGGACUUGAGUACGAGAGAGGUGAGUGGAAUUCCCAGUGUAGAGGUGAAAUUCGUAGAUAUUGGGAAGAACACCGGUGGCGAAGGCGGCUCACUGGCUCGUAACUGACGCUCAGGCGCGACAGCGUGGGGAUCAAACAGG
rnacentral:rRNA from 1 species